GACGAACGCUGGCGGCGUGCUUAAUACAUGCAAGUCGAGCGAAGAGACGAGGAGCUUGCUCCCCCGACGUUAGCGGCGGACGGGUGAGUAACACGUGGACAACCUACCUAUAAGACUGGGAUAACUUCGGGAAACCGGAGCUAAUACCGGAUACUAUACUGAAGCGCAUGGUCCAAUCGUGAAAGACGGUUUUGUUGGCACUUAUAGAUGGACCCGCGCCGCAUUAGCUAGUUGGUAAGGUAACGGCUUACCAAGUGAACGAUGCGUAGCCGACCUGAGAGGGUGAUCGGCCACACGGGAACUGGAACGGCGUCACGGCUCCUGCGGCAGGCAGCAGUAGGGAAUCUGCCGCAAUAGGCGAAAGCCUGACGCAGCGACGCCGAGUGAGUGGUGAAGGUCUUCGGAGCGUAAAACUCUGUUAUUAGGGAAGAACAAAUGUGUAAGUAACUGUGCACGUCUUGACGGUACCUAAUCAAAAAGCCACGGCUAACUACGUG
rnacentral:rRNA from 1 species